GCGAAAACUUUACAAUGCCGGCAACGGCGAUAAGGGGACCUCGAGUGCCAGGUUACAGGUCUGGCUGUCGCGAUGCCUAAAAAGCAUUGCAUAGCAAGGGCCGGGCAAGACCGGUGCCAGCCGCCGCGGUAACACCGGCGGCUCGAGUGGUAACCGUUAUUAUUGGGUCUAAAGGGUCUGUAGCCGGCCGGGUAAGUCUCUUGGGAAAUCCAGCAGCUUAACUGUUGGGCUUUCAGGAGAUACUGCCUGGCUCGAGGCCGGGGGAGGUGAGAGGUACUUCAGGGGUAGGGGUGAAAUCUUGUAAUCCUUGAAGGACCACCAGUGGCGAAGGCGUCUCACCAGAACGGACCUGACGGCAAGGGACGAAAGCUAGGGGCACGAACC
rnacentral:rRNA from 1 species